rnacentral:rRNA from 2 species
UUGGACUGUUACUUUGAAAAAAUUAGAGUGUUUAAAGCAAGCUAACGCUUGAAUACAUUAGCAUGGAAUAAUGAAAUAGGACGCUCGAUCCUAUUUUGUUGGUUUCUAGGAUUGACGUAAUGAUUAAUAGGGACAGUCGGGGGCAUCAGUAUUCAAUUGUCAGAGGUGAAAUUCUUGGAUUUAUUGAAGACUAACUACUGCGAAAGCAUUUGCCAAGGAUGUUUUCAUUAAUCAGGAACGAAAGUUAGGGGAUCGAAGACGAUCAGAUACCGUCGUAGUCUUAACCAUAAACUAUGCCGACUAGGGAUCAGACGAUGUUAUUUUUGACUCGUUCGGCGCCUUACGGGAAAC